AAUAAGGUGAGUGAACAUCCUAUGUGAUCUCAUAUGAUGAUGAUUCUGGAAGUCUUUAGCCAAAGCAAGGUGAUUAUUAGAAAAAAAAUUUUAAUAUAUUAUCAACUGAAUCAUCAUCUUUAGAUCGAGAUACAUAAAGAUAAAUGAUUGGAUUUGACAUAUUUUCAUGCCCACAGCUCAUCUGGGAUGUUAUUUGUAUUGGGAUGCAUAGGGAUUUCAUGCUUGCAUUUCUAAAAUUUUCAGCAGAAGAAUAUUAGAGUAAACUAUUUAAUCUACAAAUAUAUGUAUAAGAUCUGAUCUUAAAACUCUUACAAACAGAUCUAUGACAUGA
rnacentral:lncRNA from 1 species